rnacentral:rRNA from 1 species
UGGGGAAUUUUGGACAAUGGGCGCAAGCCUGAUCCAGCAAUGCCGCGUGCAGGAUGAAGGCCUUCGGGUUGUAAACUGCUUUUGUACGGAGCGAAAAGGUCUGCCCUAAUACGGUGGGCUCAUGACGGUACCGUAAGAAUAAGCACCGGCUAACUACGUGCCAGCAGCCGCGGUAAUACGUAGGGUGCGAGCGUUAAUCGGAAUUACUGGGCGGAAAGCGUGCGCAGGCGGUUAUAUAAGACAGAGGUGAAAUCCCCGGGCUCAACCUGGGACCUGCAUUUGUGACUGUAUAGUGAGAGUACGGUAGAAGGGGAUGGAAUUCCGCGUGUAGCAGUGAAAUGUGUAGAUAUGCGGGGGAACACCGAUGGCGAAGGCAACCCCCGGGACCUGUACUGACGCUCAUGCACGAAAGCGUGGGGAGCAAACA